CCUUCGACAGCUCAGUUGGUAGAGCGGUGGACUGUAGCGUGUACGAUUGUGAUCCAUAGGUCGCUGGUUCAAAUCCGGCUCGAAGGA
rnacentral:tRNA from 1 species